rnacentral:rRNA from 1 species
GUAGGUGGCAAGCGUUGUCCGGAAUUAUUGGGCGUAAAGCGCGCGCAGGCGGGAUGGUAAGUCUAACUUAAAAGUGCGGGGCUCAACUCCGUGAGGGGUUGGAAACUACCAUUCUUGAGUGCAGGAGAGGAAAGUGGAAUUCCUAGUGUAGCGGUGAAAUGCGUAGAUAUUAGGAGGAACACCAGUGGCGAAGGCGACUUUCUGGACUGUGUCUGACGCUGAGGCGCGAAAGCCAGGGGAGUGAACUGGGAUUAGAUACCCCGGUAAUCCUGGCCGUAAACGAUGGGUACUAGGUGUAGGAGGUAUCGACCCCCCUUCUGUGCCGGAGUUAACGCAAUAAGUACCCCGCCUGGGGAGUACGGCCGCAAGGUUG